UCUGGCCGAAAGGGCAACGAAAUUUGUUUCCUCUCGAUUGGUUUUUAUUAAGCCUGACCCUGCACCCGCGCAUUCUUACAUGAGUCUCACAAUUUAAUUUCCUGAUUUCUGAUUUUUCCAUGCACAGCAAGCUCAUCAGAGCAUGAUAUUAUGUAUCUGGCGAGGAUUCUGCCUUCGACGGUGAAGGACAUGGGACACACACAGCCUCAACUGUUGCCGGCAAUUCGGUGGAAGGGGCCAGCUUUUUCAGAAUAGCUAAUGGAACAGCUCGAGGGGGGGGGUACAGUCCUCCAGGAUCGCCAUUUACAAGGUAUGCAAUUCAUGGGGUUUGCGAAGGAGAUGGAAUUUUGGCAGCUUUCGAUGAUGCAGUCGCAGAUGGAGUGGAUAUCAUCACUCUUUCACUGGGCGAUGGGGCGCCUUCUUCUUUUAACAAAGAUCCUGUCGCGAUAGGAGCUUUCCAUGCGACAUCAAAGGGUAUCUUGGUGACUCAAUCUGCAGGAAAUUCUGGGCCCUCUGCGGAAAUAGUGAGCAUUGUCACCCCUUGGAUCCUGACUGUGGCGGCUAGGACCAGAUCGGCUGUUCAUCACCAAGCUUGUCCUGGGGAACGGGACGGUUAAGACUAUAUGUUUUCACUCUACAAACGUCUCACGACUUAGAUUUUUGUGAAAGGAAAUGCAACAUCGGAACAGCUUUCUGCAACAACGCAUCUGGGCGUAGCAAUAAAUUCAUUUCCAUCAGCUCCCAAUUAUUCUCCUCUCCUGUUCGGGAAGCAGGUUUCGAUCUCUUGUGGCGACACCUCUGCUAGAGCCUGCUAUGAGGGCUGUCUAGAAAUGCAGAAAGUGGCUGGGAAAAUCAUGAUCUACGAUAGGGGUGCUUGAUGGACUUUUCGAGGCUGCAGCAUUUGGUGCUCAGGAGACAAUCCUAAAGGGCGCAGAUCGUGACGAUGCUUCUGCUUAUCCACUUCCCUCUAUGGCCCUGAACGACUCCAGCUUUGAAAAACUCCUAUCCUACCACAAUUCCACAAGUGCCUGAAUUCAUGAACAUUUUCUCACGUCAUUUAAUCAUUUUUCCUUUUGUCAUAUAUAGACAAGAGUUAUUUCUCGAUGGUGUACUGCAGAGAUCCUCAAGCCCUUCGAGUUGGCCAUCAACAGGACUGUCACCAAUGUAGGGCCUCCGAACUCAACCUACAAGGCCAAAGUUGACAUCUCCCCAAACAUUAACAUCACUGUGGUCCCAGAGGUCAUUUCCUUCGGGUCCGUUUUCAAGAAGAGGUCUUUCACCAUUGGGAUUUCAGCGAGUGGUUUGCAAUAUGGCGCCCUGUUGUCUAAUGAGGCCGUUUGGUCCAAUGGCGUUCGCCAUGUGAGAAGUCUGGUCAUCGUGUAUACUGAACAAGAGAGUCCAGAAUAAUUGUCUGGUCAUCGUGUAUAUUGGUUAUGGACUUCAAGUUUCGAUUGUAUUUGAGACAGAACUAUACAAUUAAAUAGUGUACGUGCUUUCCCACUUUGCAUGGGCAGGGAUCUUGAUAUAAUCUAGCUAGAGAACCCUUUGCAGGGGCAUGAGGAAGAAUCUCAGGAUGACAGGGUCGAGCAUGAAGGCGAACUUUGGGAUAAACAUGUGCCAACUAAAACAAUUACAAGAGCACGAGCCAAGUGAAUCCAACAAGCCAUGCAAAGGCUGUUAUUGCAUGUCUAUGGAGGAGAAGUCAAGCUCUUGGGCGGGCUGCAUAUGGAACAAGAAGCCACGACCAUUCAUAUCCAAGAAAUCUAUUUAGAAAAUAAUCCAAUUCAAAGGGCUGAAUUUAGU